rnacentral:rRNA from 1 species
GGGAGGCAGCAGUGAGGAAUAUUGGACAAUGGGCGCAAGCCUGAUCCAGCCAUGCCGCGUGAGUGAAGAAGGCCCUAGGGUUGUAAAGCUCUUUCGGCGGGGAAGAUAAUGACGGUACCCGCAGAAGAAGCCCCGGCUAACUUCGUGCCAGCAGCCGCGGUAAUACGAAGGGGGCUAGCGUUGUUCGGAAUCACUGGGCGUAAAGCGCACGCAGGCGGACUGAUAAGUCGGGGGUGAAAGCCCGGGGCUCAACCUCGGAACUGCCUUCGAUACUGCCAGUCUGGAGUCCGGGAGAGGUGAGUGGAAUUCCUAGUGUAGAGGUGAAAUUCGUAGAUAUUAGGAAGAACACCAGUGGCGAAGGCGACUCACUGGCCCGGUACUGACGCUCAGGUGCGAAAGCGUGGGGAGCAAACAGGAUUAGAUACCCUUGUA